UGCGUAGGGUGCAAGCGUUAAUCGGAAUUACUGGGCGUAAAGCGUGCGCAGGCGGUUGUGUAAGACAGAUGUGAAAUCCCCGGGCUCAACCUGGGAACUGCAUUUGUGACUGCACGGCUCGAGUGCGGCAGAGGGGGAUGGAAUUCCGCGUGUAGCAGUGAAAUGCGUAGAUAUGCGGAGGAACACCGAUGGCGAAGGCAAUCCCCUGGGCCUGCACUGACGCUCAUGCACGAAAGCGUGGGGAGCAAACAGG
rnacentral:rRNA from 1 species